rnacentral:rRNA from 1 species
CAGUAGCCGCGGUAAUACGAAGGGGGCUAGCGUUGUUCGGAAUUACUGGGCGUAAAGGGCGCGUAGGCGGCCAUUCAAGUUAGAUGUGAAAGCCCUGGGCUCAACCUAGGAAUUGCAUUUGAUACUGUUUGGCUUGAGUUCGGGAGAGGUGAGUGGAAUUCCCAGUGUAGAGGUGAAAUUCGUAGAUAUUGGGAAGAACACCAGUGGCGAAGGCGGCUCACUGGACCGACACUGACGCUGAGGCGCGAAAGCGUGGGGAGCAAACAGGACUAGAUACCCCAGUAGUCCCUGUCUCUUAUAC